GCAGUAGUGGUUCAGUGGUAGAAUUCCUGCCUUCCAUGCAAGAGGCCUGGGUUUGAUUCCCAGCAAAUGCA